rnacentral:lncRNA from 1 species
GUUCACUACUUUGAAAGCAGGACAGGAGAGAAACAGAAAUGAAUUUCUUUAUUGCAAGAAAUCAUGAUUAUUUAUUGAACUGGAAAGCAGGCAGGCCGAUGCUCCAUUGAAUGCUGUGAACAACAUGUUGACAGAAAAAAGGAAUGUGCAAUGGAGAUUGUUAAUAUGGAAAUAUCCUAAGAUACGGCAUGCCAUUUGAGAAAAUAAAUGAAAUAUACUUUGGUAUGGAAGAUAAUUA